GGCAAGGUAGCUCAGUGGUAGAGUGCUUGCCUAGCAUGCAUGAGGCCUGGGUUCAAUUCCUCAGCACCA
rnacentral:tRNA from 1 species